rnacentral:rRNA from 1 species
UCGCCGAAAGAGGAGCCCGCGGCUGAUUAGCUAGUUGGUGAGGUAAUGGCUCACCAAGGCUUUGAUCGGUAGCCGGCCUGAGAGGGCACACGGCCACACUGGCACUGAAACACGGGCCAG